GCCCGGGUUUGUGGUCAGAGUUAUCCUUCUCCUAGGUGAACUGCCUACCACGGCUAACGAGCUCCACCUGCCCGGGUUUAUUGUUCGGAGUUUGCUCUCCUAGGUGUAUUGCCUAUGACGGCUCACGAGCCCAACCUGUCCGGGUUUUUUAUUCGGAGUUUGCUCUCCUAGGUGUAUUGCCUAUGACGGCUCACGAGCCCAACCUGUCCGGGUUUUUUAUUCGGAGUUUGCUCUCCUAGGUGUAUUGCCUAUGACGGCUCACGAGCCCAACCUGUCCGGGUUUGUUGUUCGGAGUUGUCCCUCUCCUAGGCAGAUUGCCUACCACGGCUAACGACCUCCACCUGCCCGUGUUUGUGGUCAGAGUUUUCCUUCUCCUAGGUGAACUGCUCACGCUAACGACCUCCACCUGCCCGGGUUUGUAAUCGGAGUUUGCUCUCCUAGGUGAAUUGCUUUCGCUAACGACCUCCACCUGCCCGGGUUUGUAAUCGGAGUUUGCUCUCCUAGAUGAACUGCUCACGCUAACGACCUCCACCUGCCCGGGUUUGUAAUCGGAGUUUGCUCUCCUAGAUGAACUGCUCACGCUAACGACCUCCAUCUGCCCGGGUUUGUAAUCGGAGUUUGCUCUCCUAGAUGAACUGCUCACGCUAACGACCUCCACCUGCCCGGGUUUGUAAUCGGAGUUGUCCCUCUCCUAGAUGAAUUGCCUACCACGGCUAACGAGCUCCACCUGCCCGGGUUUAUUAUUCGGAGUUGUCCCUCUCCUAGGUGAAUUGCCUACCACAGCUAACGAGCUCCACCUGCCCGUGUUUGUUGUUCGGAGUUGUCCCUCUCCUAGGCAGAUUGCAUACCACGGCUAACGAGCUCCACCUGCCCGGGUUUAUUGUUCGGAGUUUGCUCUCCUAGGUGUAUUGCCUAUGACGGCUCACGAGCCCAACCUGCCCGGGUUUUUUAUUCGGAGUUUGCUCUCCUAGGUGUAUUGCCUAUGACGGCUCACGAGCCCAACCUGUCCGGGUUUUUUAUUCGGAGUUUGCUCUCCUAGGUGUAUUGCCUAUGACGGCUCACGAGCCCAACCUGUCCGGGUUUGUUGUUCGGAGUUGUCCCUCUCCUAGGCAGAUUGCCUACCACGGCUAACGACCUCCACCUGCCCGUGUUUGUGGUCAGAGUUUUCCUUCUCCUAGGUGAACUGCU